rnacentral:rRNA from 1 species
CCCGCUGAACUUAAGCAUAUCAAUAAGCGGAGGAAAAGAAACUAACAAGGAUUCCCCUAGUAACUGCGAGUGAAGCGGGAAAAGCUCAAAUUUAAAAUCUGGUGGUCUUUGGCCAUCCGAGUUGUAAUUUAGAGAAGCGUCUUCCGCGCUGGACCAUGCAUAAGUCUCCUGGAAUGGAGCGUCAUAGAGGGUGAGAAUCCCGUCUUUGGCAUGGACCCCCAGGGCUUCUGUGAUGCGCUCUCAAAGAGUCGAGUUGUUUGGGAAUGCAGCUCAAAAUGGGUGGUGAACUCCAUCUAAAGCUAAAUAUUGGCGAGAGACCGAUAGCGAACAAGUACCGUGAGGGAAAGAUGAAAAGCACUUUGGAAAGAGAGUGAAACAGUACGUGAAAUUGUUGAAAGGGAAACGCUUGAAAUCAGUCGCGUCGACCGAGACUCAGCCUUGCCUUGCCUUGGUGUACUUCUCGGCUGACGGGUCAGCAUCAAUUUCGAUCCUUGGAUGAUGUCAAGGGAAAGGUAGCACCUUUAUAGGUGUGUUAUAGUCCUCUGUCGGAUGCAAGGCUUGGGAUUGAGGAACUCAGCAUGCACCUUGUCGGCGUCGUGGCCUUGGCCGACGUUUACAUGCUUAGGAUGCUGGCAUAAUGGCUUUAAACGACCCGUCUUGAAACACGG